UGCAGUCGAACGAGNAGCCCCUUCGGUGGUGGACAGUGGCAGACGGGUGAGUAACGCGUGGGAACGUGCCUUUCGGUUCGGGAUAACCCAGGGAAACUUGGGCUAAUACCGGAUACGCCCUUCGGGGGAAAGAUUCAUUGCCGAAAGAUCGGCCCGCGUCGGAUUAGCUAGUUGGUGGGGUAAUGGCCUACCAAGGCGACGAUCCGUAGCUGGUCUGAGAGGAUGACCAGCCACACUGGGACUGAGACACGGCCCAGACUCCUACGGGAGGCAGCAGUGGGGAAUAUUGGACAAUGGGCGMAAGCCUGAUCCAGCCAUGCCGCGUGGGUGAAGAAGGCCUUAGGGUUGUAAACCCCUUUCAGCGGGGAAGAUAAUGACGGUACCCGCAGAAGAAGUCCCGGCUAACUCCGUGCCAGCAGCCGCGGUAAUACGGAGGGGACUAG
rnacentral:rRNA from 1 species